GGAAUAUUUUUGCCAUCUUUAACGAGGCGCGAUAAAGCAACCAGGGGCGGGGGGGGGGGGGGGGGGGGGAAGAAAAAUAGGAGGACGCAGCAUGCGGGAGGCGGCAGACGAGGCUUUAAAUGAGGCGCACAAGUGGACGAUUUGCAACUCGGGACGCUUAGUUUUCUUACAAAAAGAAAAAGAACUGCAAUAUAGCUGAAUCAAGUAUUUCUUUUGCGUGUUUUUCUCUCUCUCUCAAUUUCUCUUCUCUAAAUUUGUUCCGAUAGGUGCUGCGGUGGUCCCCGGUGCGGGCUGCGACGCGACGCCGCCUCCCCCUCGCUUCAUCCCGGCCGGGACGAUCGGCUCGGCCCCUCCUCCCUCCCUCCCUCCUCCUCCCUCCCUCCCUCCCUCCCUCGGUCGCCCCACCCCAGAAACACGAGCACAACUUCAAAUCGAUAUCGAAUACGAACGACUCCUGCUCACGCGUGACUAUGGUUUGGUUGCCCAAAGUUUUUCGCCCCCUCCCUCUUUUCCUUCCAGCCUGAUCUCAAGCUGAGGACGCGAUCGGCGUCCACGUCCACGGUCACAGGACUCGGCUUAGCGCUGUAGCCGCGGCGGUGUGAUUUUCAUGUUUGCGGCUCACAUUUCCGACAAGGGGUGUUAAAAUCGCGCCGAGGAAUAGUGGGCGGCAUUGUGAUGGGUUCUCGCGGCUCCUGCCGCUGGUUCUGCCGCGCACGAUUCGAGACGCCUAAUCCGACCUGCAGAAAGCUGACAUCGUGAUCCUAAGCCGCCUUCGCUGCAAAUCAUUGUGGAAUUCAAAACUUUUCCUUCGCCCUCUCUCUCUUAGAUGUGCCGCUGAGCACCGAGUGACCGCCGAGCGUGCGUGCGUAAAAGCAACAUCGCGCACGGACAUUUACGCACAACGUUGAGGCCAUCCGGUUGCACCGGGAGGACAUUCGGAUGCGGGCACGGGCGCGCGCUCCUCCCUGACGCACACGCGCACAGGGAUGUGCGUGCCCGCGUGGCCACGUCGUGCACACGUGGAGCAACACGCGGCGGCGGCAGCGGCAGGGACGUCUGACCCCGAACCGGUGUUGUGUGGACUCGGAUCCCGUACAAAAUGUGCAAAUUCAACAGCGUCACCAUGGCCAGAGCGCUGGCCCUUUGAUGGCAGCAUCUGAUUGGUUGGUCAGCGCAAAACUUGUGACAACCGACUUCAGGCAGCAAAACACACCUGGAGAAAUCUGCAUAAAUGAAUACAUUUAAUAAUCUCCAUCUCUGGUGAGUAUGAUGUACAUUAAGUUAUAUAAUUUGUGUAUGUUUUUGUCACUUAUUAGCUACAGUAAUAAUAUUGAUUCUGAACUGCUCCAAAUGAUGUUCAUGGCACAAUUAAUUGUCUGUACAUUUUUGUAUGCCACUGAUGGCUUUCUAAAAUAUCGACUUACUAAAAGUUGUGUUAAGUCGGACCAGGUACCAAAUGUACACACACACACACACACACACAGACAAAAUAUGAAACUCCAGCAGCAGAGUCCCACUGGUGUCGCUCUCUCAAUCAAAUUCACUAAAGCCUGGGCCAAUCAUUUUUACACUUUUUAUUCAUAAGGCGAUAUUGGGACUACCACCUUCAUACAUUUGUACCUUCAUUACUCUGAGAAAAGCUGUAUCUUAUCCACCAUAUUCCUUGUGGCGCUCAUGGCCAAAGUAUUAUGGGCGUGACUUGGCUGAUAGUGUAUAGUAUAGCAUAUAGUAUAGUAUAGUAUACAGACUUGUUCUUCCACACCAAACUCAUUCAUACACGCUUUGCUUUUGGAAGAGAAAAACUGUUCCCCAAAAGUUGGAAUGGUCCCAAAAGGUCUUGUUUUUGGGACUAAUCCAACGUCUUCACGAUUAAUCAACUGAUUCAGAAAAAGUAUGUGUCAAAGUUUUUGUGUAGCUAUCCCUUUUUUAACCAUGGAAAAUACAAAAAGUAUCCCUGGAAUUGCGUUACGAGUAGAUUGCAUCCAAACAUUGCAGUAACACACACGGCAUUCAUUAAUUCAUUCACACCUUGAGUUGUAAUGUGAGAAAACGCCGAUUUUUUUUUUACAUUAUGCGGUUGCCAACCACGGCGAGAGCACUUAACUAAGCUAUGGUGCUGACGCAUGCCGUUGCCUUGACGAACAAUCAGCGGUAAAACACACCAUGUACUUGGACCAUGUUGAAAAUUAGAUGCACGCACACAUACGCGUCCCCGCACACACACCCACACACACACAAAUUACUUUUGCUGCGGGUAAGUGGUUUCUUUUAUGACACUGGAUGCCCUAAUCCCCAUUUUUUUUUUUUUUUUUUUUACUGAAUACAUAUUUCAUUUAGGAUUAGCACAACAACCGAUACGCUUGUUUUCAGAAUAUUUCGCCAUACGUUGCAUAAUAUUACCUUGGCCCAAAUGCAUUCAUAAUAAUAAUAAAGUCCCUUGUAUUGUUUAA